rnacentral:rRNA from 1 species
GACGAACGCUGGCGGCGUGCCUAAUACAUGCAAGUAGAACGCUGAAGAGAGGAGCUUGCUCUUCUUGGAUGAGUUGCGAACGGGUGAGUAACGCGUAGGUAACCUGCCUGGUAGCGGGGGAUAACUAUUGGAAACGAUAGCUAAUACCGCAUAAGAGUAGAUGUUGCAUGACAUUUGCUUAAAAGGUGCAAUUGCAUCACUACCAGAUGGACCUGCGUUGUAUUAGCUAGUUGGUGGGGUAACGGCUCACCAAGGCGACGAUACAUAGCCGACCUGAGAGGGUGAUCGGCCACACUGGGACUGAGACACGGCCCAGACUCCUACGGGAGGCAGCAGUAGGGAAUCUUCGGCAAUGGACGGAAGUCUGACCGAGCAACGCCGCGUGAGUGAAGAAGGUUUUCGGAUCGUAAAGCUCUGUUGUAAGAGAAGAACGAGUGUGAGAGUGGAAAGUUCACACUGUGACGGUAUCUUACCAGAAAGGGACGGCUAACUACGUGCUAGCAGCCGCGGUAAUACGUAGGUCCCGAGCGUUGUCCGGAUUUAUUGGGCGUAAAGCGAGCGCAGGCGGUUAGAUAAGUCUGAAGUUAAAGGCUGUGGCUUAACCAUAGUACGCUUUGGAAACUAUUUAACUUGAGUGCAAGGGGGGAGAGUGGAAUUCCAUGUGUAGCGGUGAAAUGCGUAGAUAUAUGGAGGAACACCGGUGGCGAAAGCGGCUCUCUGGCUUGUAACUGACGCUGAGGCUCGAAAGCGUGGGGAGCAAACAGG